rnacentral:rRNA from 1 species
UACAGAGACUGCAAGCGUUAUUCGGAUUCACUGGGCGUAAGGGUGCGCAGGCGGCCGUAUGUGUGAGGCGUGAAAGCCCGGGGCUUAACCCCGGAAUUGCACCUCAAACUAUACGGCUAGAGCAUUGGAGAGGGUAGCAGAAUUCAUGGUGUAGCAGUGAAAUGCGUAGAUAUCAUGAGGAAUACCAGAGGCGAAGGCGGCUACCUGGACAAUUGCUGACGCUCAGGCACGAAAGCGUGGGGAGCAAAAGGG